AGAGUUUGAUCCUGGCUCAGAUUGAAUGCUGGCGGCAUGCCUUACACAUGCAAGUCGAACGGUAACAGGUCUUCGGACGCUGACGAGUGGCGAACGGGUGAGUAAUACAUCGGAACGUGCCCGAUCGUGGGGGAUAACGAAGCGAAAGCUUUGCUAAUACCGCAUACGAUCUACGGAUGAAAGCAGGGGACCGCAAGGCCUUGCGCGAACGGAGCGGCCGAUGGGCAGGAUUAGGGUAGUUGGUGGGAUUAAAAGGCGUUAACCAAGCCGACGAUCUGUAGCUGGUCUGAGAGGACGACCAGCCACACUGGGACUGAGACACGGCCCAGACUCCUACGGGAGGCAGCAGUGGGGAAUUUAGGACAAUGGGCGCAAGCCUGAUCCAGCCAUGCCGCGUGCAGGAUGAAGGCCUUCGGGUUGUAAACUGCUUUUGUACGGAACGAAAAGACUCUGGUUAAUACCUGGGGUCCAUGACGGUACCGUAAGAAUAAGCACCGGCUAACUACGUGCCAGCAGCCGCGGUAAUA
rnacentral:rRNA from 1 species